GCUUUUUUCUGACAUCGAUCGAUAAAAGUCAGAUUGCUAUAAUCGGCACACUGAUUGUCGUUGCCGAGUGACUAUCUUUUAAACAUCGUGUUUCCUUUCAGUACAUUUUAAUAUGUUCAUUUAACAAGCUGACAAGCUGCGUGAUUAUUUCUAAUCGCGUGCCUCUAAUCUCUGCGCGCGGAAAAAAAGUGUAGAUGAGUACAUAUGAAUAAAAUAUCACUGUUCGAUCAUCGUUACGUUUAUGAUUUGUUCAAUCGUUUACUUUUUUUCAACGUCACGAAGCACAUAUGUAUCGAUAUAUUUUGAAAUUUGAUAUAAGAUCAAAUCGGAAUCGAUAAUCAAGAUGUGUGUGCGAGUGAUGCAAUGAGUUUCCAAUAGUAAAAUUAGCAGCUAUCAGUUUUCGGUAGUUACAGCUUUAAUAGGAUUGUGAUAUAGUUAAUUCUUCAGCGGAAACUUCGUAGGUACGACAAAGUCAUACGAGAAACAUCGUAGUGCUUGCUGAGACGGACUCCCUAUGCGCUUCUAUUUUUAUUCGAAAAGUUGUAAAACAAAGAAGGAGCUGGCCGCGCGUGUAUCGCGCCAUUACACAAUUUCUCGAACGGGAAAACGACAAGGCAAUAAUCAACUGCCGGAUACUGGAUACGUGAUUAAAGUCAGCGGUGUGUCCGGAAACGAUCAAGCUCGUUGGAGAUUACAAACGCGCCAUCAUCAGCCUUAAUCGACUCCGCGUGCGUGACCGAAAAUAGAAAUUUAACCAUGCGUUCCGCGUUCGCUGUUCGAUCAUUUCAAGUGGCUGGCAUAAUUUGCGGCAUGAUGUUUUGUGAAACACUCUCCUCGUGGGUCUUGAAAAAAAGCCAGAGAAAAAGAAAAAAGAAAGAGAAGAAAUAUGGAUCUAUCUUUUUUUUGUAAUAUUUGAUUUCAGAAUAAAAAAUUAUAAUGCAACAGGGACAUAGGUUUAUCACAAUGUUACUGUUGUGUAUCACAUAAAAUUUAUCUAUACAUGGUUUAUUCGGCUGUCAGUGUGCUCGUGUUUAGAAAUAUAAUAGCAAUUGACUUGUAUGAUUAAUAGAAUAACACGCUGUUUUAUUGAUCAAAAUUAGAUAAUAUGAAUUUCACUUGAUAUUAAACAUUGAAUAACGUUCAGCAUCAUAUUUUCGACUUUUUUUAUUUAGUAAAUAUAUCUGGAAGGAAAAA